rnacentral:rRNA from 1 species
UACGUAGGUGACCAGCGUUGUCCGGAUUUACUGGGCGUAAAGGGCGCGCAGGCGGCUUAUUUUGUCAGGCGUGAAAGCCCCGGGCUUAACCGGGGAACUGCGUCUGAUACUGGAUGGCUUGAAUCCGGGAGAGGGAUGCGGAAUUCCAGGUGUAGCGGUGAAAUGCGUAGAUAUCUGGAGGAACACCGGUGGCGAAAGCGGCAUCCUGGACCGGCAUUGACGCUGAGGAGCGAAAGCCAGGGGAGCAAACGGG